rnacentral:lncRNA from 1 species
AUUCCGUUCGUCUGCUCCUGCCGCUCUCUGCACUUCUGCACACGUGCAUGCCUUUGCCUUGUACUGUGCGCUGCAACAUUUUGUUUCUGUAUCGGCCGGUGGCUCCAGCGAUGUACAAAAACAGAAGAAGUCCCCGAGACGGUCCGCGCGGCUCUGUGGUUGACGAGCACGAGAAGGGACAGCAGGGCCACUGUUUCCCGCUUUCAAGAGAAUGAAAGAUCACAGCUCCAGCACGGAUAACGCCACCUCGUCUGUGUUUGGGCUCUUCUGCUCGGUCUCGCCGGAAGGCUCGAUCCGGAAUCUUGCCCCGUCACUAACACGUGUUUCUGUGCUGACACGUGUGCUACAGUAUCUCAACUAGUUCACGGUGCAACCCCUGCCUUCGUUGAGAUCGGGACGACAGCGCCAUCUAUUGCGACUACGUCAUCGGACCUGCCUAUAAAGGAUCGUCCGCAGAGCUACACCUUCAGUGGGUACGGCGGACCGGAACGCGGCAUGUGGUCACGAAAUCACCUUUUCUACUUCGUGCAGGUUAGUCCCAGCUACAACAGCUUUCGUAGUGAUUAUCGUGGCCUUCGGGUCCUGCCGUGCCCUCAACAGUGUAUUAUGAUUGCAUAUGACGUAUUCUCUGUGUGUGCACUACUUUUGUGUGGUGAUGUGGAGACUAAUCCAGGCCCUUCAACAGCAGAAAUGCUGAAGGAAUUGUUGGCAGGGCAAAAUAAACUAGCUGAAGAAAUGGCUGCACUAAGGGAACAACAGAACAGUAUGGGAAAAAUCAUGUCUGAUCUUACUUUGCGCUUUCUUGAAAUAGAAAAACGAACUGCCCAGGUCGAAGCACUCGAAAAAUCAAUGAAGAUUUUGAAAUCUAAACUAACCGAUCUGGAA